UAGGGAAUCUUCCACAAUGGACGAAAGUCUGAUGGAGCAACGCCGCGUGAGUGAAGAAGGUUUUCGGAUCGUAAAGCUCUGUUGUUGGUGAAGAAGGAUAGAGGCAGUAACUGGUCUUUAUUGACGGUAAUCAACCAGAAAGUCACGGCUAACUACGUCCCAG
rnacentral:rRNA from 1 species